rnacentral:rRNA from 1 species
UACGUAGGGUGCAAGCGUUAUCCGGAAUGAUUGGGCGUAAAGCGUCUGUAGGUGGCUUUUUAAGUCCGCCGUCAAAUCCCAGGGCUCAACUCUGGACAGGCGGUGGAAACUACCUAGCUGGAGUACGGUAGGGGCAGAGGGAAUUUCCGGUGGAGCGGUGAAAUGCGUAGAGAUCGGGAAGAACACCAGCGGCGAAAGCGCUCUGCUGGGCCGACACUGACACUGAGAGACGAAAGCUAGGGGAGCGAAUGGG